AGAGGCAGGAGUGGCCCAAGUUGUUCUCGCGCCGUGGUAGUUACUUAAAGUUCUUAGAUAGAGAGUCGUGUGUGCGUUAGUUACGAUCGGUGUGUUAUCGUGUGUGCUGGUGGUUUAAAUCAGAUUCGUGACCACAUCGCCACGACGCCCGAGACACCACAACGAACCGUCGAGGCCAUUCUUGACCCCACCAUCAGGCUGCGAGGUUUUCCCGGGGCACGCCGGAAGAGGGACGCGAUCGCCAAUCAACGCGCCCUAGGCAGGGCAUCACCGAAGAAGUAGAAGGAAGAAGAAGAGAGAAGGCAACCGUUUUUCCGUUCCGUUGGUGACGACCGACGGACAUCGACGCACGUGCCGCGUCGCGCCAUCGUAUGAGACCGUAAGUUUCGAUCCGGAGCAAAGCCAUCCGUAGGCGACAACCGCAGUCGCAGCAUCAUCAGCUAGCCCGCUAGCUCCACCGCCGACCCGCCGGCAAACCGCGAUGUAAAGUUCAUCCGUUCAACCAACAGCAGUAGCAACAUCAACUACUAGGCAAGCCGCCGACCCGCCGGCGAACCGCGUGUUUGCCGCCACCGCCACCGUCCAUCCGUUCCUCCAUCACAUGGACGCCGUCGUCGUGUAAGUCAUUGUCGACCAUUCAAAGUGAGUACUCAUUUCCAAACAUAAUCCAUGCGCAUGUGAUUUACCGCCGCAACAUAGCCAAUACCUGUUGCUAGGCGAGGACACGGCUC